GUAUUCUGCUUGUGUUUUUUUAUACUGCAGUUGCUUUGUAUCGUUGUAUUUGUGCUAUAUGAGCUAUUAUAUUGUAUAUGUUCAGGAGUAGUUUUUUGGUAUCGUGUAUGAUACAUAUGAAUGUGGGCUGUGUAUGGGGGCUGCUUGUGGAAUUGUGUGUGUGGAUGAAUAUGUCACAUUUUGUGUUUGGUAGUGUGUGUAUGUGUGGGGGAUGUUUGCGGUAUUGCAUGUGAGAGGCUGCAUGUGGGGUUGUGUGCAUGUAUGUGGAUUGUUAGCGGGUUACGUUUGUUUGUGGGCUAUUUGUAUUAUUUGUAUGAGGGGAGGGUUAUUGUGCAUUUCUGUGUAUAUUUAGCAGUGUGUGUGGCUUCCCUGGGUUCCAGUGGGGACCAGGCUGGCCAGGUACAGGUCAAGGACAGGAGCUGCAACAGCAACUGCAGGCUGCUCUACUACAGUGUGGAUUCCCAUUCACAAGUGCUGGGAGGAAGUGAUCUGAGAUCACUUACUCUAUGUGCUGUAAUGCAUAAAUUGAGGAUUGUCCUUCACCACCUUUUCGUAUUAGCAGAUAUCUGAAGUUUCACUGGGACUCCUGAUUGGCCAGUGCCUGUUUGGC